rnacentral:rRNA from 1 species
GAUGAACGCUAGCGGCAGGCUUAAUACAUGCAAGUCGAGGGGCAGCGGGUGUAGCAAUACAUGCCGGCGACCGGCGCACGGGUGCGUAACGCGUAUGUAACCUACCUUUAACUGGAGGAUAGCCCCGAGAAAUCGGGAUUAAUACUCCAUAAAAUUAUGAGAAGGCAUCUUUUUAUAAUUAAAGCUCCGGCGGUUUUAGAUGGGCAUGCGUGACAUUAGCUAGUUGGUGAGGUAACGGCUCACCAAGGCUCCGAUGUCUAGGGGUUCUGAGAGGAUUAACCCCCACACUGGUACUGAGACACGGACCAGACUCCUACGGGAGGCAGCAGUAAGGAAUAUUGGACAAUGGACGCAAGUCUGACCCAGCCAUGCCGCGUGAAGGAUGACAGCCCCUAUGGGUUGUAAACUUCUUUUGUACGGGAAAAAACCUUACGUAACGUGUUCGUAAGCUGAUGGUACCGUAACGAAUAAAGCAUCGGCGUAACUCCGUGCCAGCAGCCGCGGUAAAACGGUAGACGUG